rnacentral:rRNA from 1 species
AGCAGUAGCCGCGGUAACACGUAGGUGGCAAGCGUUGUCCGGAAUUAUUGGGCGUAAAGGGCUCGCAGGCGGUUUCUUAAGUCUGAUGUGAAAGCCCCCGGCUCAACCGGGGAGGGUCAUUGGAAACUGGGAAACUUGAGUGCAGAAGAGGAGAGUGGAAUUCCACGUGUAGCGGUGAAAUGCGUAGAGAUGUGGAGGAACACCAGUGGCGAAGGCGACUCUCUGGUCUGUAACUGACGCUGAGGAGCGAAAGCGUGGGGAGCGAACAGGAUUAGAUACCCCCGUAGUCCCUGUCUCUUAUAC